rnacentral:tRNA from 1 species
GUAAAUAUAGCUUAAUAAGACCAUUAGAUUGUGAAUCUAACAAUAAAAGCUCAAACCUUUUUAUUUACC